rnacentral:rRNA from 1 species
AACGAACGCUGGCGGCAUGCCUAACACAUGCAAGUCGAACGAGACCUUCGGGUCUUGCUUCGCAGGGUGGCUUAACGAGUGGGAAGUUGCGCGUAGGUUCGGAAUAACUCCCCGAGAGGGGUGCUAAUACCGGAUAAUGUAUUCGGACCAAAGAUUUAUCGUCUUUGGAUGGGUGCGCGAUGGAUUCGCUAGUUGGUAGAGUAAAAGCCUAUCAAGGCGACGAUCCAUAGCUGGUCUGAGAGGAUGAUCAGGCACACUGGGACUGAGACACGGCCCAGACUCCUACGGGAGGCGGCAGGGGGGACUAUUCGACGAUGCGCGAGUGACUGAGGCAGCCAUGCCGCGUGAGUGAUGAAGGCGUUAGGAUUGUAAAGCUCUGUUAACCGGGAUGAUAGUGACAGUACCGGGAGAAUAAGCGCCGGCUAACUCCGUG